UUGAUCCUGCCGGACCUCACUGCUAUCGGGUUGAGACUAAGCCAUGCAAGUCGUGCGCUUCCUAGCCAUGGUGGGAGCGCGGCGUACGGCUCAGUAUAACAUGGUUAACUUACCCCAAGGAUGGGGAUAACCCCGGGAAACUGGGGCUAAUAUCCGAUAGGCGAGGAUGCCUGGAAGGGCGUCUCGCUCAAAGGGCGGAGGGAGCAUGCUUCUCUUCGUCGCCUUGGGAUAGGGCCAUGUCCGAUCAGGCUGUUGGUGAAGUAACGGCUCACCAAACCUAUAACCGGUACGGGCCGUGAGAGCGGUAGCCCGGAGAUGGACCCUGAGACAAGGGUCCAGGUCCUACGGGGCGCAGCAGGCGCGAAACCUCCGCAAUGCGCGGAAGCGUGACGGGGUCAGCCCGAGUGUCGCCUGCUGAAGGCGACUUUUCCUCGGUCUACAAAGCCGGGGGAAUAAGGGGAGGGCAAGCCUGGUGUCAGCCGCCGCGGUAAUACCAGCUCCCCGAGUGGUGAGGACGAUUAUUGGGCCUAAAGCGUCCGUAGCCGGCUUAGCAAGUUUCCCGUCAAAUCCGACGAUCCAAUCGUCGGGCUGCGGGAAAUACUGUCAAGCUAGGAGGCGGGAGAGGCCGGCAGUACUUUCGGGGUAGGGGUGAAAUCCUAUAAUCCCGGAAGGACUACCAGUGGCGAAGGCGGCCGGCCAGAACGCGCUCGACGGUGAGGGACGAAAGCUGGGGGAGCGAACCGGAUUAGAUACCCGGGUAGUCCCAGCUGCAAACGAUGCGGGCUAAGUGUCGGGAUGGCCAUAGAGCCGUCUCGGUGCUGCAGGGAAGCUGUUAAGCCCGCCGCCUGGGGAGUACGGCCGCAAGGUUGAAACUUAAAGGAAUUGGCGGGGGAGCACCACAAGGGGUGAAGCUUGCGGUUUAAUUGGAUUCAACGCCGG
rnacentral:rRNA from 1 species